UACCCAAACAGUUCCAGUUUG
rnacentral:piRNA from 1 species